rnacentral:rRNA from 1 species
UACAGAGGUCUCAAGCGUUGUUCGGAUUCAUUGGGCGUAAAGGGUGCGUAGGUGGCGGGGUUAGUCAGGUGUGAAAUCUCGGGGCUCAACCCCGAAACUGCACUUGAUACUGCCUUGCUAGAGUACUGGAGAAGAGAUUGGAAUUUACGGUGUAGCAGUGAAAUGCGUAGAUAUCGUGAGGAAGACCAGUUGCGAAGGCGGAUCUCUGGGCAGUUCCUGACACUGAGGCACGAAGGCCAGGGGAGCAAACGGG